rnacentral:tRNA from 1 species
GAGGGUAUAGCUUAGUGGUAGUGCAUGCUUAGCAUGCAGGAGGUCCUGGGUUCAAUCCCCAGUACCUCCA